GGAGAAGAAUGGCAGUGAAAGGAAAAGAAUAACAGACAAGAGAGUGGGAAAGACUGAAAGACCUUUAAGAAGUCCAGUUUCUCUGCAAGUUUUGAAGUGUUCUGGCUGCUUCACAUCAUUAUUUGGAAUAAUCUAUCAGCUGACACUUAUUUUGAUCUCAUCCAUAUGAAAACAGCCAAAAAUACCUCAGGCACCUGCCUUGCCCAAGUUACCACUGUUUCUUUUUUAGGCUCUUUAAUUUUUCCUCUCAUUCUUCCACUUCUUGCUUAAUCUUUUAAAGGUAAUCUAUUCCAGUUUGCUAUCCAGUUUGACCUACAGGAAGAGCCUGCUGCUGUGGUGCCCCAGUAUGGGAUACAGUAAUGUCAAUGUGUUCUUUUAAUGGACAAAAUGUUCCCUACCACAUCUGAAUGCUGAUAUGUUAUUUAAAGCAGAAUAGCCCAGAUGAAAAGCUGCUUAGAGAAGCUGUACAAAAGAUCUGUUUGGCCAAACAAACCCAGAUCCCUCAGCCUACCUUCAUAGGAGAGGUUAUCCAGCCCUCAGAGUAUCUUUGCAGCCAUCCUCUUGACCCUCUUCAAAAUCUUCUCAUCUUUCCUGUACUGGGGUCUCAGGCUUGGGCGCAGUACUCCAGCUAGUAUCUCAUGAAGGCAGAAGAGAGGGGGGCAAUAAUCUCCCUGUCCCUGUUGACCAUCCCUCUUCUGAUGGAACCCAGGAUACCAUUGGCCUUCUGGGCUACAAGUGCACACUGCUGGCUCACAUUCAGUUUUUCAUCAUCCAGACCCCUACGUCUUUCUUAGCAGGGCUACUCUCAAGCAGUUCUCCUGGAAAUUUGAAUCAAUUAUUGUCUGUAGACAAGUGUCACAGCCCAUAUUGACUUCAGCUUUUGACAUGGUGACUCUGACUAUAUGAGUGAGCUCUCUGAAAUGCCUUAACUGAUUGAGAAGUCAUCUUGCCUUACCAAAUGAGUUCAUUAUUCGUUAUGUUUGCUACUAAACUAAACACAGGUGCAAUAGUAAGAUUUAAGAACUGAGUGCAACAUAUUAGAAAUAGCUGGUUAAUUAUAAUCAGCUACCAAUCUACAUGAAGAUAUUCCCUAGGCGACUACAUAUGAAAAUGUGCAGUGCUUUCAAUGCAUACCCAG
ensembl:lncRNA